rnacentral:rRNA from 1 species
UACGAAGGGGGCUAGCGUUGCUCGGAAUCACUGGGCGUAAAGCGCACGUAGGCGGCUUUUUAAGUCCGGGGUGAAAUCCCGGAGCUCAACUCCGGAACUGCCUUUGAUACUGAAAAGCUUGAGUUCGGGAGAGGUGAGUGGAACUGCGAGUGUAGAGGUGAAAUUCGUAGAUAUUCGCAAGAACACCAGUGGCGAAGGCGGCUCACUGGCCCGAUACUGACGCUGAGGUGCGAAAGCGUGGGGAGCAAACAGG